GUGAUAUUUGAAAAGUAAGUUUGUUUAUUCAUGAGAUAUGUAUCAUACAAGCAGCUGCAAUCUGCUUCCCCUCACUUCUCUGCUAAUGUGUUCAACUCUGACCUCAGAGGACCACCCUCUCUGAGGAUGAGAAGCAGCAUAGCUUUCCUGCAAACUCAUUUAUCGGGCUGCA
rnacentral:sRNA from 1 species